CGCGGCCUAUCAGCUUGUUGGUGGGGUGAUGGCCUACCAAGGCGGUGACGGGUAGCCGGCCUGAGAGGGCGACCGGCCACACUGGGACUGAGACACGGCCCAGACUCCUACGGGAGGCAGCAGUGGGGGAUAUUGCACAAUGGGCGAAAGCCUGAUGCAGCGACGCCGCGUGGGGGAUGAAGGCCUUCGGGUUGUAAACCCCUUUCAGCAGGGAAGAAGCGAAAGUGACGGUACCUGCAGAAGAAGCGCCGGCUAACUACGUGCCAGCAGCCGCGGUAAUACGUAGGGCGCAAGCGUUGUCCGGAAUUAUUGGGCGUAAAGAGUUCGUAGGCGGUUUGUCGCGUCUGCUGUGAAAUCCCGAGGCUCAACCUCGGGACUGCAGUGGGUACGGGCAAACUAGAGUGUGGUAGGGGAAACUGGAAUUCCUGGUGUAGCGGUGGAAUGCGCAGAUAUCAGGAGGAACACCGAUGGCGAAGGCAGGUUUCUGGGCCACAACUGACGCUGAGGAACGAAAGCAUGGGGAGCGAACAGGAUUAGAUACCCUGGUAGUCCAUGCCGUAAACGGUGGGCACUAGAUGUGGGGGCCAUUCCAUGGUUUCCGCGUCGCAGCUAACGCAUUAAGUGCCCCGCCUGGGGAGUACGG
rnacentral:rRNA from 1 species